AUUGAACGCUGGCGGCAUGCCUUACACAUGCAAGUCGAGCGGCAGCACGGGAGCAAUCCUGGUGGCGAGUGGCGAACGGGUGAGUAAUGUAUCGGAACGUACCUUUCAGUGGGGGAUAACGUAGCGAAAGUUACGCUAGUACCGCAUAUUCUGUGAGCAGGAAAGCAGGGGAUCGCAAGACCUUGCGCUGAUUGAGCGGCCGAUAUCAGAUUAGCUAGUUGGUGAGGCAAAGGCUCACCAAGGCGACGAUCUGUAGCGGGUCUGAGAGGAUGAUCCGCCACACUGGAACUGAGACACGGUCCAGACUCCUACGGGAGGCAGCAGUGGGGAAUUGUGGACAAUGGGGGCAACCCUGAUCCAGCCAUGCCGCGUGAGUGAAGAAGGCCUUCGGGUUGUAAAACUCUUUCGGCCGGGAAGAAAUCGCAUGGGUUAAUACCCUGUGUGGAUGACGGUACCGGGAUAAGAAGCACCGGCUAACUACGUGCCAGCCGCCGCGGUAA
rnacentral:rRNA from 1 species